rnacentral:rRNA from 1 species
AUUGAACGCUGGCGGCAGGCCUAACACAUGCACGUCGAGCGGCGCGGCGGACGGGUGAGUAAUGCCUAGGAAUCUGCCUGGUAGUGGGGGAUAACGUCCGGAAACGGGCGCUAAUACCGCAUACUAUCAGAUUAGCCUAGGUCGGAGUAGCUAGUUGGUGGGGUAAAGGCCUACCAAGGCGACGAUCCGUAACUUGUCUGAGAGGAUGAUCAGUCACACUGGAACUUAUACAAGGUCCAGACUCCUACGUGAGGCAGCAGUGGGGAAUAUUGGACAAGGGACGAAAGCCUGAUCCAGCCAUGCCGCGUGUGUGAAGAAGGGCUUCGGAUUGUAAAGCACUUUAAGUUGAGAGGCGUUACCAACAGAAUAAGCACCGGCUAACUUCGUGCCAGCAGCCGCGGUAAUUC